CAGGCACCAGCUGAGACUUCUGAGAUGGGAGCUAUUUCCUACUGCGCUGCUGCCGGAAGGAGCCAGGAUGCCCCACUGGGAUCUGGGUGUUGGGAGCAGUGUCCAGUCUGUGCAGUUGGUGCUAGAGCUGGAUUCACAUGUACGGCUACAGAGAUGGGAGAGAAAAUGCAUCCUAAAAGCAGUGGGAGUUAAUUUGCUCUUCUGUAAUCAAUCACCCUGGACAGAAGCAAAAACACACCACAGCAAGCCCAGAAUGGCUGAGAGGAGGUGCUUGGCUGGCAGGCAGGGAGAGGACCCUGUAGAGAGGAUGCUUUUCUCUUUAUGGAUUUAAAAUAAAAUGAAUCUUAAGGACA